GCAGUGUACAGGUGGAACUGCCGAGCCACCUCCGAGCCCGCGACGAGUGAAAGUGCGCUUACGUUUUCCUGCGUGCUGCGGCGCGGAGCCUUUCCGACCGAAGGCUACGCCGCCGUGUGUCCGCUCGGUUAGGACGUCUACCUUUGAUUCUGGGACAAGG